rnacentral:rRNA from 1 species
GAUGAACGCUGGCGGCGUGCCUAAUACAUGCAAGUCGAGCGAACAGACGAGGAGCUUGCUCCUCUGACGUUAGCGGCGGACGGGUGAGUAACACGUGGAUAACCUACCUAUAAGACUGGGAUAACUUCGGGAAACCGGAGCUAAUACCGGAUAAUAUAUUGAACCGCAUGGUUCAAUAGUGAAAGACGGUUUUGCUGUCACUUAUAGAUGGAUCCGCGCCGCAUUAGCUAGUUGGUAAGGUAACGGCUUACCAAGGCGACGAUGCGUAGCCGACCUGAGAGGGUGAUCGGCCACACUGGAACUGAGACACGGUCCAGACUCCUACGGGAGGCAGCAGUAGGGAAUCUUCCGCAAUGGGCGAUAGCCUGACGGAGCAACGCCGCGUGAGUGAUGAAGGUCUUCGGAUCGUAAAACUCUGUUAUUAGGGAAGAACAAAUGUGUAAGUAACUAUGCACGUCUUGACGGUACCUAAUCAGAAGGCCACGGCUAACUACGUG